AGAAAAGCACUGGUGUGUGUGUAUGAAAGUGUGUGUGUUUGUGUGUGUGUGGAUGAAUGUGUGCCUUUAAGCGAGGCACAGAUAGAUUGGUAGAACUAUGAACAGAGAAAGAUAUAGACAGAUGGAUAAAGAUAACAACACUCCGAACCAACCAAGAUCGGACAGAUGAUGAAAUGCAUUCUAUCCGUGACCAGCCUGACUUUUCGUAUAUCAAGAAUUACAUCUAAUAUGGCUUCCCUUUUAAAGGCAAUAGAGAAAAAUUUUAGGGAUAUUUGGCUAGUAUUUCUGGCAGGAACAUCUUGAUGUAUUGGUGAACAGUCAACAGUGUAGGAGAGCACAAAGAUUACAGUUGUAGUUGAGAAAAAGUUAGCUGACAUGGAGGACCGGAAGUUUCUAUCUACCAAAUUCACUCACAAGGCUUUGAAUGGUCCAGAGUUAUAGUAGACACUUGCCCAAGGUGCCACGCGGUGAGACUGAACCCAAAACCAUGUGGUUGAGAACUUAUUUCACAAGGAGUGACCUAAUAUGAAUACUAAACUACCAAUCUUCAGGAAUACCACUUUUAUAAAACUUAAAACUAUAAAUAAAAAGUAAAU